rnacentral:tRNA from 1 species
UGCGGGGUGGAGCAGCUUGGUAGCUCGUCGGGCUCAUAACCCGAAGGUCACAGGUUCAAAUCCUGUCCCCGCUACCA